rnacentral:lncRNA from 1 species
UAGAAUUCUUCACUCCUUCUCUCAAAGAAUCACAGGAGUGUUGGCAUGGCCAUGGCCAAGGUCUUCAGUGUGUAGCGAUCAAUCCCAUGCCUUCAGUGAAAAGAUGUGUGUGUAAUUCUCUCACCUUCAGAACUGAUCACUUUGCCUUGCCACAUAUAGAGCUGAAGCUUCUAUGAGACUGCCAGUAGGUAGUUGGCUAUCGCUGUGGCUACAGGUUUAGUGGAUUGUUGACUUCAGGUCUGAAGCUCCUUUGACUAAGUGCCCUUGAACAUUAUUUGAGACCCUGCCACAGCCCAGCCCUCUUCGUCUGUUCUUCCACAGGUGCAAAGAGGAAGCCCGCCGGGCAUGCCGAGCAGGGAAGAAGCAGCUGGCACUGAGGUCUCUCAAGG